UGCCGGCUCACGUAGGUUCGUUCGCGUGGUCUUGUUACGCCUCGCUGGAUCGUGUUCAGUCAUGCCGUCCUUGCGCGGCGUGAUUGUCGUGCGGCUGGCGUGAGCUGUCUCCACGAUGCGCUUCGAGCGUGUCGAUUUCGCCGUUCUUUAUGUUGGCGUUAACGACCUUGAAAGCAACAUGGAUCCACAAGAAAUGUGCAACAACAUCAAGGUAAGUCUACUGAAAUCACAAAAUUUGAAACAAUAAGCGCUAAUAGUUGUGUUUUCUUUUAAAUUUUAGGCCUUGAUUGUUCAACGAGACGGCCCCCGUCGUGCUGGUUUUCAAGGUGCUCCCUCGCUGCCUAGAAGAUGCUGAUGCGGAAUAGAAAAUGCAAAAACGUCGCUUGCUCAACCGCAAAUUGACGGCUACGCUGAAGCGCAUGCCGUGUCUGCGGAAUUUGAACCCCGAGCUUUCCAGAGUUCCUUGGAAAAUCCUCCCAUGCACCUGCCAUGUACAUUGCCCUCCUCCUCGAUGUGGCGUGCAAGAUGGCAGCAGCAGCUGUGGGAACAGUUGAAGAGGCUAAGAAAAGUCCACUUUAUAAUAGGUUGUAUGUAAAUAAAACUGAUCGACCUCAACCGAUUCGGCUUCCACUUUUGUCAAGACAAUUGUCAGCAAAGCAAUGGAGCAAUUUCAGUAGGGCGAUAGUAAUAAAUAGUGCAUAGAAA
rnacentral:lncRNA from 1 species